ensembl:misc_RNA 7SK 7SK RNA
GGAUGUGAGGGUGAUCUGGCUGCGACAUCUGUCACCCCACUGAUCGCCAGGGUUGAUUCGGCUGAUCUGGCUGGCUAGGUGGGGGUCCCCUUCCUCCCUCAUCGCUCCAUGUGCAUCCCUCCCAAAGCUACGCGCUCGGUCGAAGAGGAUGGCCUUCCCCAAACAGAGACGGACCAGUCUUCGGUUGAGGGUGUACGAGUAGCCGCACUCCCCUGCUAGAACCUCCAAACAAGCUCUCAAGGGCCAGACUGGUAGAGAAGUCAGACUGGGAUUAAAAGUCUGCAAGUGUGGAAUAAUGU